GGGGCUGGGGCUCAGUGGUAGAGUGCUUGCUUAGUGUACAUGAGGCACUGGGUUCAAUUGUCAGCACCA
rnacentral:tRNA from 1 species